GAGUUUGAUCGUGGCUCAGGACGAACGCUGGCGGUAUGCCUAAUACAUGCAAGUCGAGCGCAGGAAGCAGACUGAAGCCUUCGGGUGGAUGUCUGUGGAAUGAGCGGCGGAUGGGUGAGUAUCACGUGGGUAACCUGCCUGUAAGCUUGGGGAUAACUCCGGGAAACCGGUGCUAAAUACCAGAUAAGAUUUCCGUUCGCAUGAACGGAAAAUGAAAGGCGGCUUUUGCUGUCACUUACAGAUGGACCCGCGUCGCAUUAGCUAGUUGGUGGGGUAAAGGCCCACCAAAGCAACGAUGCGUAGCCGACCUGAGAGGGUGAUCGGCCACACUGGGACUGAGACACGGCCCAGACUCCUACGGGAGGCAGCAGUAGGGAAUCUUCCGCAAUGGACGAAAGUCUGACGGAGCAAUACCGCGUGAGUGAUGAAGGUCUUCGGAUCGUAAAACUCUGUUGUUAAGGAAGAACAAGUGCUAAUCUAAUACAUUAGUGCCCUGACGGUACCUAACCAGAAAG
rnacentral:rRNA from 1 species